AAUCAACGCUGGCGGCGUGCCUAACACAUGCAAGUCGAACGAGAAAGUAGGGGCAACUCCAUGAGUAAAGUGGCAGACGGGUGAGUAACACGUGAACAACCUACCCUUGAGUGUGGGAUAACAUCGCGAAAGCGGUGCUAAUACCGCAUAAUAUCUUUGGAUUGCAUGAUCUGAAGAUCAAAAGCGCAAGUUGCUUGAGGAGGGGUUCGCGGCUGAUUAGCUAGUUGGUGAGGUAACGGCCCACCAAGGCAACGAUCAGUAGCCGGCCUGAGAGGGCGAACGGCCACACUGGAACUGAGACACGGUCCAGACUCCUACGGGAGGCUG
rnacentral:rRNA from 1 species